UGAUCACGGCCGCCGAAUCCGCGAAUCUCGCGGAACCGGGGAACCAACCGUUCUUGGGGUGAAUCGGCGCCUCCGCGCGCCGUAGGGCACUUCCCAGCCCGAACCCGUCAGCUAACCCGGUAGGCGGAAUGAGAAGCGAA
rnacentral:sRNA from 2 species